rnacentral:rRNA from 1 species
CGAACGCUGGCGGCGUGCUUAACACAUGCAAGUCGAACGAGGUGAUUGAAAGCUUGCUUUGAGAACCGAGUGGCAAACGGGUGAGUAACACGUAGACAACCUGCCGCAAAGAUGGGGACAACAGUUCGAAAGGACUGCUAAUACCGAAUGUUGUCAGAUUCCCGCAUGGGAGACUGAUUAAAGAUGGCCUCUACUUGUAAGCUAUCGCUUUGCGAUGGGUCUGCGUCUGAUUAGCUAGUUGGUGGGGUAACGGCCUACCAAGGCGACGAUCAGUAGCCGGUCUGAGAGGAUGAACGGCCACAUUGGAACUGAGACACGGUCCAGACUCCUACGGGAGGCAGCAGUGGGGAAUCUUCCGCAAUGGGCGAAAGCCUGACGGAGCAACGCCGCGUGAGUGAAGAAAGGGGUUUCGGCUCGUAAAGCUCUGUUGACGGGGACGAAUGUGCGAGAUGCGAAUAGUUUCUUGCAAUGACGGUACCCGUCGAGGAAGCCACGGCUAACUACGUGCCAGCCGCCGC